GCCGGGGUAGCUCAGUUGGUUAGAGCACUGGAUUGUGGUUCCAGGUGUCCUGGGUUCGAGUCCCAGCCUCGGUACCA
rnacentral:tRNA from 1 species